rnacentral:rRNA from 1 species
GUCUAUGGCCAUGCCACCCGGAACAUGCUCAAUCUCAUCUGAUCUCAGAAGCUAAGCAGGGUCGGGCCUGGUUAGUACUUGAAUGGGGGACCACCUAAGAAUAAAAAAAAAUAUAUAUA